GUAGGGAAUAUUGGACAAUGGGCGAAAGCCUGAUCCAGUCAUGUCGCGUGAUAGAUGAAGGCCCUCUGGGUUGUAAAUAUCUUUUAUCUGGGAAGAAACUCCUCUAUUCUUAGAGGCCUGACGGUACCAGAGGAAUAAGCACCGGCUAACUCCGUGCCAGCAGCCGCGGUAAUACGGAGGGUGCAAGCGUUAUCCGGAUUCACUGGGUUUAAAGGGUGCGUAGGCGGGUUGAUAAGUCAGUGGUGAAAGCUCCGGGCUUAACUUGGAAACUGCCAUUGAUACUGUCAGUCUUGAAUGUCGUAGAGGUAAGCGGAAUGUUGCAUGUAGCGGUGAAAUGCUUAGAUAUGUUACAGAACACCAAUUGCGAAGGCAGCUUACUAUGCGAUAAUUGACGCUGAGGCACGAAAGCGUGGGGAGCAAACAGGAUUAGAAACCCUUGUAGUCC
rnacentral:rRNA from 1 species